rnacentral:tRNA from 1 species
CGGACAUGGUGUCAAUGGCAGCACGCCGAGGUGAUCUAUCGGAAGAGCUCGGUUCGAAUCCAGUCGUCCGCU